AAAAAAACACCCCCCCCCCCCAAAAAGUGACACAGGCACAAAACACGGACCCGGAGAAAGCUGCUGCCACUGAAGUUUGGAAAUAUGGGGGGAAAAUAAAAUUAGUGAGAGUCGAUAAAAUGUGGCUCUGGGGAAGUGGUGGUGCUGCAGGGAAGUUUUGGGGUGGUAGGACCCCAUCCCUGGGGGUAUCCAGGGCUUGGAGUAACUUUCUCCAGUGAAAGGUAAUCAUCCCUGCCCAUGGCAGGGGGGUGUAAUGAGGUGGGCUUUAAUAUCCCUUCCAACCCAAACCAUUCUGUGAUUCUAUGAUCAGCAGCACCUUCUCGGUGUGAGGGUGGGGAAGCCCUGGCACAGGUUCCCACAGAAGUUGUGGCUGCCCCUGGAUCCCUGGAAGCGUUGCAUAGAAUAACCUGGUCUAGUGGAAGGCGUCCCUGUGCAUGGCAGGGGUGGAAUGAUGAUAAUUUAAGAUCCCCUCCAGCCCAGACCCUUCCAUGACAUGCCAUGCCCGUGCCAGCCCACGGACGCCAGCAGUUGCACAACGCUGAGCAAUGAUAAUGGUUUGUGUGUACCUGCCAAGGCAGAGCUCUCCUGAAGGGCCGUGGUCACUUCCCUGCUGACUGCUGAGCAAGUAGAGGCAGGCUCAGCUGAUAAAAGGUGCAUUUACCGAGAUAAGGGAACAGCAGAGCUCCUGCACUGCUGCUAUUUCCUGCAGAGUCCUGGCUGCUCCACCUCGGCAGGAAUCCGAGGGCAGGAGGUGCUGCAUGAAAGCACAGAGAGAUUUUACACGGGUGAUGGAGACAGGCUGUUUAAGGCUUACCCCCGUCCAAAGGUGUCUGCUGUUACCAGGAAGAAUCCCAAGGGAAGUCGGAGCCUCAGAAAGAUGCUAGCCGUAAAUGUAAGGUCUAUAAAACCCCAAAAUCUCCUCUACAAGCUCCCAGCAGCACCUCCAGUGUGAGCACACAGCACUGUAUCAGUGACACGGGCCUCCCACAAAACAGAUGUUUGACUUGCCCCACUCAACAUGGUCCUCUCAGUGUUUGACAUCUGAGCCUGCAAACCUGGUGAUUAUGGCCAGGAUCAUGGAAUCCCAGAAUGGUUUGGGUUGGGGGGGACCUUAAGGACAUCUCAAUCCAACCCCCUGCCACGGGCAGGACCUUGAGGGUCUCUGUGUGCCGCAGCCCUGGUGCACUGUGGAGGAGAGGAGCUGGGGCUGAGCACGAGCUCUGAGUAGCACAGAACCACAGCUCCGAGCUGUGACCUCCCACAGCAGAGCUGCUCUUUCCUGCAGGCACGGAACAGACUCUGCAAUAACCACCAGGAGACAUGGGGGUGAUGUGUUUGUCCCCUGCUGCAGCUCAGGGGACUGUAACCAGCCCCAGGAAGGAGCCCUGGAGCAGACGGUUCGUUCUCUCUGUGCCCCCAAGACCAAAGAUGUUAUUUUCCAAACAAAGGGUGAAAAAAACACAGGCAAUUUUUCAUCUGUCCCAUCACUGACCCUUUGUCCAGAGCAAUAGAAAUAAUUAGAGCUUGCUGCAGCCUUUUGCUAAUGAAAAAUGAGGUUUGGGGCCAACCUGCUCUGCAUUUGAAGUUCAGGCUCCAAGAGUACGUGGACAGCUUCAUGCCCGUGGAUUGUCUGACUCCUGCAUGCUCCUUCAGAUAUUCGGUACAUUCCUGCAGUGGGUGGUGAGCCACAAAUCAGGGUCAGAGGUAAUCCCCAAUUAUUUAGCCCUUUUACUGUUCUCGUGCUUGCCAAACAAUUCUCCAUAUCAGGAUUUGCUCAUGACCUUAAGGGACGUUGCCAAGGAUUUAGGAGUCCCCCUAAAAGGAGGAUCCAAAUGAAGUUUUUGCAUUCUUGGGCAUCAAGUGAGAUUGCUCGAGAGUUGAGUUACAUUUUCCUGGGGAUCAGUUUUCAUGAGCAAGGACUGAUGCAAUCAUCAAUUCUCCUUCUCGCUUGUGUUUGCUGAAUUAUUUCUACAUGGAGGGCUCCUUUACACCACACGACUCAGGCAGUAACAAAAUGUUUAAAAAGGCUGAAUUCCCUCAAGCCAUCCGUGGAGCAGCAGCUCUCCUGAGCGCUUCUCCAGCAGGGCUGGGAGUCACAGGACCGCGACAGCUCGUGUCCAAGGGGAUUUGCAGUUAUUUACAGAGGCACGAGAAGCAAUCCCGGCUCGGGUUACUGGCACCGGAGGUGAAAGCUCAGCCCUGCCGAGGCUGGACGCGCCGGGAUGCGCCCAGCCCUCGGCAUCCUCGGCCGGCAGGAACACCCCGUGCUUUCCGCACCAGGGAAAGUUCCUGCGGGAGCCAGGCUGUCUGUGACAGAGCUGGGGCUCUCUCCUGUGCUCAGCAAACGUGACGGCUCCGCUCCGAGCCCGGCAGCUCCGCAGCUGCUGCUCCCGCCCCCGGGCCGCACGGGAGGCUCGGGCGGGGGGACAGCGCCUCCAUCCCCACGGGCUCUGUGUCCUGCGGAGUGCGGUCAGGGUGGGAUGCAGCCAGCCAGGAGCUCCCAGGGGAGCUGCACCUCUCCCUUCCCACCCGCAGCGUCCAAGGCCGGCGCGGGAGAGCUCACACCCCUCAGCCACGGCCGGUCCCGAGGGACACCGUGGGACCUCACAGCGCAGGGUGUGAGGAGCAGUUUGACACCCACCAGGCUCUGCCUCAGCCUUCUGGGAGUUGCAAAAGCCCGAUUUGGUGUGAAGCCGGGCGGUUUCAGCUGUGUGUGACUCUCGAUAGCACAGCUGGCCGCGCUCACUGCCGCGGAACCGUCAGGAACCGUCACGAGUCAGAAGUCGAGAUUUAAUAUUGCAAAUAUGUGCAUCCAUCGCUGCUUAAUUGCACUGGUUUAGGCUGCCAUGGGCUCUGCCUGGAUAAAGCACUGGGAAAACACAGCAAGAGCUGUUGUCUCUGUGCCCUCCCUCCGGCACGACCCUGGAGCGCUGCCGGGCACGUGAGAGCUGAGGGAAUGGGGAAUGACGCUGGCAUCGCUCAGCGAAACUCGCCCGAGGACUAUUCAAAUGAAAGCCAUUCCCCUCUUUGAGCAGAGAUGUUUGCCAGCACCCAGUGCAGCAGUGGGAGGAACAUGUAGGUGGAAACUAUUUGGAAGUGGCAGAAUUUGUGGACAUUAAUAAGAGACUUUAGCCCACUUUGAUAGUGUGUUUAAUAAAACACCGGCUUCCCGGUGACAUGCUGCCCUGCCAAGCCCCGGCAGCUCACGCUGUUUAACCAGUUCCCCCCCGGCUCUUGCACCAUCUCGUGAGAAAGAACCCCGGGCGUGCACACCCGGCACACCCCGGGGCUGCACAGGCCUCAGCUCUGCCUGCACACGGCCUAACCACGGAAUCAGGGACUCGUGGAAUGGGCUGCCUUGGAAGGGACCUUGAAGUUAUUCAGUUCCACCCCUGCCCUGGGCAGGGACACCUCCCACCAGGCCAGGCUGCUCCCAUCCAGUCUGGCCUUGGACACUUCCUGGGAUGGGAGUCCUCAACCCAAGAGCCAUUUCAGAGGUGACAUCCUGGCUGCUGCAGGUGGGGCAGGGGACAGCGAGGGCUGACAGCAGGCUUUGGAGGGGCAGGGAGGAUGAGGAAUGGCUUCUCCUCCCGCUGCUGGCGUUGUCUGGUGGAUGCUCUGCACAAUGGGAUCUGAUCACAUCCCUCCUCCUGCCUCACAUCAAACAGUGAGUCAGCGCUGGAGCCCCAUCAGAUGUCUCUGCCUUGGCUUUCAGAUCUGGGAAGCAGAGGGGAUGGUGCUCUGUGAGUAUGCAAAGCAAGGAAAGCAGGGUGCCUUCAGAUCUGCCACUUGGAAAAUACCACGUUAUUUAUUUUCCACUGGCACCCACGUACCCCGGCAGGAAUCAACACCACUGAGGCUCCCAGGCUGGGGAGAUGUUGUUCUUUCGGGGGAUGCAGGUAACAACAGCUACGGGGCUGAACUGCAUCAUGUCUGACUCAAAUAUUAACACAGAGAAUAUUCUCAACUUGCUAAUUGAGUCAAAAAAAUUACACACCCACCCCUAAAAAUAAUAAUAAAAUAAAGCUGGGACAGGCAGCAGAAGAGGCCA